UACGGGGGGGAGCAAGCGUUUGUUCGGAUUUACUGGGCGUAAAGGGCGCGUAGGCGGCCACCGCAAGUCGACUGUGAAAUCUCCGGAGCUUAACUCGGAAAGGUCAACUGAUACUGUGCGACUGAGGAGUGCGGAAGGGGCAACUGGAAUUCUUGGUGUAGGCGGUGAAAUGCGUAGAUAUCAAGAGGAACACCUGAGGCGAAGGCGGGGUUGCUAGGCUGACACUGACGCUGAGUGCGCGAAAGCCAGGGGAGCAAACGGG
rnacentral:rRNA from 1 species